AGAGUUUGAUCAUGGCUCAGGAUGAACGCUAGCGGCAGGCCUAAUACAUGCAAGUCGAACGAAGCAGCAAUGCUUAGUGGCGCACGGGUGCGUAACGCGUAUGAAUCUGCCCUUCACUGGGGGAUAACUUUCCGAAAGGGAAGCUAAUACCGCAUAAGACUAUGGAAUGGCAUCAUUCAGUGGUUAAAACUCCGGUGGUGAAGGAUGAGCAUGCGUCCAAUUAGUUAGUUGGUAGGGUAACGGCCUACCAAGACGAUGAUUGGUAGGGGGUCUGAGAGGAUGAUCCCCCACACUGGUACUGAGAUACGGACCAGACUCCUACGGGAGGCAGCAGUAGGGAAUAUUGGUCAAUGGAGGCAACUCUGAACCAGCCAUGCCGCGUGCAGGAAGAAGGCCCUCUGGGUUGUAAACUGCUUUUAUACAGGAACAAAUGAUCUUGCGAGAGUAGCUGAGUGUACUGUAAGAAUAAGCCACGGCUACUACGUGCCAGCAGCCGCGGUAAUACGUAGGUGGCAAGCGUUGUCCGGAUUUAUUGGGUUUAAAGGGUGCGUAGGCGGCUUUGUAAGUCAGCGGUGAAAACUUACAGCUUAACUGUAAGACUGCCAUUGAUACUGCAGAGCUUGAAUUCAAACGAGGUUGGCGGAAUUAAAGGUGUAGCGGUGAAAUGCAUAGAUAUCUUUAAGAACACCGAUAGCGAAGGCAGCUAACUAGAAUGAUAUUGACGCUGAGGCACGAAAGCGUGGGGAGCAAACAGGAUUAGAUACCCUAGUAGUCC
rnacentral:rRNA from 1 species